GACGAACGCUGGCGGCGUGCUUAACACAUGCAAGUCGAACGGAAAGGCCCCAGCUUGCUGGGGUACUCGAGUGGCGAACGGGUGAGUAACACGUGGGUGAUCUGCCCUGCACUUCGGGAUAAGCCUGGGAAACUGGGUCUAAUACCGGAUAGGACCGCACGUUGGUGUGUGGGGUGGAAAGGUUUUUCUGGGGUGGGAUGGGCUCGCGGCCUAUCAGUUUGUUGGGGGGGUAAUGGCCUACCAAGACGGCGACGGGUAGCCGGCCUGAGAGGGUGGACGGGCACAUUGGGACUGGGAUACGGCCCAGACUCCUACGGGGGGCAGCAGGGGGGAAUAUUGCACAAUGGGGGGGACCCUGAUGCAGCGACGCCGCGUGGGGGAUGAAGGCCUUCGGGUUGUAAACUCCUUUCGCUAGGGACGAAGCUUUUUGUGACGGUACCUGGAGAAGAAGCACCGGCUAACUACGUG
rnacentral:rRNA from 1 species